GAUGAACGCUGGCGGCGUGCCUAAUACAUGCAAGUCGAGCGAACGGACGAGAAGCUUGCUUCUCUGAUGUUAGCGGCGGACGGGUGAGUAACACGUGGAUAACCUACCUAUAAGACUGGGAUAACUUCGGGAAACCGGUGCCAAUACCGGAUAAUAUUUUCAACCGCAUGGUUCAAAAGUGAAAGACGGUCUUGCUGUCACUUAUAGAUGGAUCCGCGCUGCAUUAGCUAGUUGGUAAGGUAACGGCUUACCAAGGCAACGAUGCAUAGCCGACCUGAGAGGGUGAUCGGCCACACUGGAACUGAGACACGGUCCAGACUCCUACGGGAGGCAGCAGUAGGGAAUAUUCCGCAAUGGGCGAAAGCCUGACGGAGCAACGCCGCGUGAGUGAUGAAGGUCUUCGGAUCGUAAAACUCUGUUAUUAGGGAAGAACAUAUGUGUAAGUAACUGUGCACAUCUUGACGGUACCUAAUCAGAAAGCCACGGCUAACUACGUG
rnacentral:rRNA from 1 species